AGCGAACGCUGGCGGCAGGCUUAACACAUGCAAGUCGAACGGGCGUAGCAAUACGUCAGUGGCAGACGGGUGAGUAACGCGUGGGAACGUACCUUUUGGUUCGGAACAACCCAGGGAAACUUGGGCUAAUACCGGAUAAGCCCUUACGGGGAAAGAUUUAUCGCCGAAAGAUCGGCCCGCGUCUGAUUAGCUAGUUGGUGUGGUAACGGCGCACCAAGGCGACGAUCAGUAGCUGGUCUGAGAGGAUGAUCAGCCACAUUGGGACUGAGACACGGCCCAAACUCCUACGGGAGGCAGCAGUGGGGAAUAUUGGACAAUGGGCGCAAGCCUGAUCCAGCCAUGCCGCGUGAGUGAUGAAGCCCUAGGUUGUAAAGCUCUUUUACCCGGGAAGAUAAUGACUGUACCGGGAGAAUAAGCCCC
rnacentral:rRNA from 1 species